UACGGAGGGUGCAAGCGUUGUUCGGAUUUACUAGGCGUAAAGCGCGUGUAGGUGUCUUAGUAAGCCUUGGCUUAAAGUCUACGGCUUAACUGUAGAAAGUGUUAGGGAACUACUAGGAUUGAGGUUAAGAGAGGAGAGCAGAAUUCCUGGUGUAGCGGUGAAAUGCGUAGAUAUCAGGAAGAAUACCUGUGGCGAAGGCGGCUCUCUGGAUUAAAUCUGACACUGAGACGCGAAAGCGUGGGGAGCAAACAGGAUUAGAUACCCGCGUA
rnacentral:rRNA from 1 species